UACGUAGGUCGCAAGCGUUGUCCGGAAUUAUUGGGCGUAAAGAGCUCGUAGGCGGUUUGUCGCGUCUGGUGUGAAAUCCCGAGGCUCAACUUCGGGCUUGCAUCGGGUACGGGCAGACUAGAGUGCGGUAGGGGAGACUGGAAUUCCUGGUGUAGCGGUGGAAUGCGCAGAUAUCAGGAGGAACACCGAUGGCGAAGGCAGGUCUCUGGGCCGCAACUGACGCUGAGGAGCGAAAGCAUGGGGAGCGAACAGG
rnacentral:rRNA from 1 species